UAACAAAAAUUAGUCGAUUAAAUUCUUUUAUUUCAUUCCCUAUUUUUCUGCAACUCUAACUACUUAAAUUUCAAUUCUUUCGGGAUUUUCAUCCCACGUUUCAAUUUUCUUCUUCAUUAUCAAACUGUUUUUUUUCUCUGUAUAAACAACAAUCUCUGAUGUCGAAAAAUAAAUAUAGCAAUCGGCUAAGUUAUUCUCAAACUCCACCAGAUUGCUCUUCCUUUUUCUUUAUGUUCUCAUAGGUUCACAUAUGGUGGCUCUGCAACUUUUUAGACGACCAAAAUAGACAAGAACUUCUCAAUCUUCUUAUUGAUAUUCCUUUUUGUCUAUAUUCUCACGGUUUUUCUGCUUAUCUUUUCUGAAAUAAUCUUUUUAGAAAUGAUUGAAUUACUACUGUACUUUUCCAUUGCUUCUAACAUCUUUUUGUGACAGUUGUUACAUUCUCACGAUGAUUUUUGAAAUCUUUUAAUUAACAGGAACGCUAGUUUCUCACCGUUUAUCAGUAAUGAAAGAUUUCAAAAAUCAUCAACAAAAUUUGAAGCUAGAGAAGACAUUGCUAACAAAUAAGAAAAUGUAAAGAAAGAAUUCAGUAAGCAUCUUGAAUAUUAUUGAGCAAUUUACGUCAAAACAUGAGGAAAUUGUAUAUGAGUGAUGAUUUUGAUAAUGUUUGGGAGAAAGAAGCAGAUAAAAAUUUCAAAACUUUUGGAUUGGAUGAAAAUUAACAGCCACAACAAAAAAUGGUAAUGAGAAAAAUAUAGAGUACUUGGAAACACUAGAAGUAAAAUUAUCUGAUUUUAUCCCCCUAUAUAUAAAUUAUUGCAAUUACUAAUAUAAUUUAAAUAAGAUAAAGUAUAAAGAGAUCACACAUUUUUUAAAUUUAAAAUACAAAUUUGUUUCGUGCUUUAGCACGGGAGUAACACUAGUAACUUUAUAAGUGACGUUGACAUUCUCGUCACCGGCUUGUAUAACCGCCGGGAACAAAAACUCCGUUCCUGGAUAUGCUUCUUAGAUGGGCCUUAAUCUAAGCACAAUAGUAUCUGUUUCCCAAAAUAAUGGGCCCAUUAAAACAAUUCCAACGAACUGUCGACAAACUGGUGGGUGGGAAUGCAACGGUCGAACACAAAGACAGAGCAAGCCAGUCCUCUCUUCCUCCUUGAUUAAAAAAAAAACACCAAAAUAAAGAUCAAAGAUUCGUCGUCUGCAAACACACACAAGAACCCUGAUUGGUCCCUCAAAUAGUCUUCAAGAAGAUUAAAAAGUCCAUUGAAGACUCAUUGACGGCGACGAUGAUUCCACACUAUUCUUGGUUCGGAGCGAUGAAAGUAUAUCAACUGGUAAAUCUGGCAAGCAUAAGGGUCUCUCAAGCAGAGCUUCGUCAAAGACUUAUGCAGCUUCCCAAAUACCUCCGAGUCGCAAUCCGCCACUGCAUUCUCCGUAAAGACGCUUCCUUAAGCUCUGACGGAACAUUGAUGCAGUUAGAAUAUUUUGAUUGAAUGCCUUCUGAUGAAAUUGAGGACCACACAAGAAUGUCCCAUUGACCAGGUGUGAUUUUUUGUGUUUAUUAGUCUUUGGAUUAUGGAGGGAGAGCUGCCUCCAUCCACGAAUGGCUAUGAAGGAGUUUUCUACAUUUACUUAGUAUAGGUAUGGAUGCUCAAGUGGUUUACGGGUUUCACAAUUUGCGCAAUGAAAAGCCAUACCUUGCGAAUGGCCGGCCCUAUCGCCAAUAAAAUUAUAUAUUCUGGCUACGGUUGGUCCCAGGGCUAGUUCAUGGUGCAUUGCACAAACGACCCUGGUUCAAGGUCUUUAUAAACACCAACAAAACAUAUGUUACAACCAUAAAAUGUGAUAUAAACCGAUUUGUAUUUUUGGGGGUUUAGGGGUCUCAAGAACAUAAUGACAUUGCAUAUUAAAACCCUAGACUUAUCUGAGUGGGAGAAGGUACCAGUUCCCAAAAGACAUCUACAGCAUAGAAACAAGAACACACAUGUGAUACAUUUUUAACUUGGGAUUCUAAUUAUACAUGUUUUUUUUUUGGUAAAAUGUUAAAUUUUAUACCAAGUUUUAAGUUUUUGACAGCGA